UAGAAGUCCUUGGAAAGGAAGAAACAGCGGGACAGACAGCUAAUUGGAUAAACUUCAACAUUUGAUCAGCAACUGAAACGGAUGGUUUUUUGUGAACUGUCAUGAUAUAUUUCUUAUUUCAGAGUGAUUCUUUUAGGGGUUCCUCAAAAUUUCUUUCUCUUUAGCUGCAGGGAUUUGGGAAAAAGAUGGACUUAGGUUGAGCACUGUUUCAUAAGUUUGGUUGGAAAGUCCUCAAGAGAUGUGUGGGUAGUACGAAAAUAGAGUUGGACUGUUCUCAGUGUUCCACCAGGAGGAAAUUGAAAGGUCAAGUAUUCCAUGCAUUUGAGCCCAUGAGUUAAGGAUGUGGGAUUCAGCGCUCGAGUGUCCAGACACAGAGAAGAUAGGAGGGAAAAGAUUUCUUCUCAGAUGUCUCUUAAGAGCACUGACUCCAGCUGCGACCAGAGCGUGGGAAGCUGGAAUAACUGAAAUGCUUCACAGACUCCAAUUCAAGUGUACAGCUUUGCAGCUUUUGUCCAAGAGCAGCAGAACGUAGAACUUUUUGUCCAAUGGAAAAAGUUCUUGAUUGAUUUCCACCUCACACCAGGGCUUCCUCACCUGCAGACCCAGGAUUCAUUAAGGAGGGAGCUCUCAGUCAGAGCGAGAGCAAAGAAACACGAAAGGCUGCUUUCUUCUAACA